rnacentral:tRNA from 1 species
UAACCCAUAAAGCAUUGGUCUUGUAAACCAAAGACUGAAGACUUAUAAUCUUCCUAAAGUA